AUUGAACGCUGGCGGCGUGCCUAACACAUGCAAGUCGAGCGGUAACAGGUGUAGCAAUACAUGCUGACGAGCGGCGGACGGGUGAGUAACGCUUGGGAAUCUGCCUAUUAGUGGGGGACAACCCGGGGAAACUCGGGCUAAUACCGCAUACGCUCUACGGAGGAAAGCCGGGGACCGCAAGGCCUGGCGCUAAUAGAUGAGCCCAAGUCGGAUUAGCUAGUUGGUAGGGUAAGGCCUACCAAGGCGACGAUCCGUAACUGGUCUGAGAGGACGACCAGUCACACCGGAACUGAGACACGGUCCGGACUCCUACGGGAGGCAGCAGUGGGGAAUAUUGGACAAUGGGCGAAAGCCUGAUCCAGCGACGCCGCGUGGGUGAAGAAGGCCUGCGGGUUGUAAAGCCCUUUCAGUGGGGAAGAAAAGCCUCGACCUAACACGUCGGGGUCUUGACGCAACCCAUAGAAGAAGCACCGGCUAACUCUGUGCCAGCCGCCGCAGUAAC
rnacentral:rRNA from 1 species